rnacentral:rRNA from 1 species
UACAGAGGGUGCGAGCGUUAAUCGGAAUUAUUGGGCGUAAAGCGCACGUAGGCGGUUCGGAAAGUCCCAUGUGAAAUCCCACAGCUUAACUGUGGAAGUGCAUGGGAAACCUCCGGACUUGAGUACGAAAGAGGAUCGCGGAAUUCCCGGUGUAGAGGUGAAAUUCGUAGAUAUCGAGAGGAACACCGGUGGCGAAGGCGGCGAUCUGGACGAUGACUGACGCUGAGACGCGAAAGCGUGGGGAGCAAACAGG